rnacentral:piRNA from 2 species
AGCACAGAACGGGCACCCAGUGAGCACUC